rnacentral:rRNA from 1 species
UACGUAGGGUGCGAGCGUUAAUCGGAAUUACUGGGCGUAAAGCGUGCGCAGGCGGUUUUGUAAGCCAGAUGUGAAAUCCCCGGGCUCAACCUGGGAAUGGCAUUUGGGACUGCAAGGCUCGAGUUUGGCAGAGGAGACCGGAAUUCCUGGUGUAGCAGUGAAAUGCGUAGAUAUCAGGAGGAAUACCGAUGGCGAAGGCAGGUCUCUGGGCUGAAACUGACGCUCAUGCACGAAAGCGUGGGGAGCAAACAGG